GGUACCAGUCUGUGUCUUGAGGAACAGGGAAGUGUGGGGUCUCGCGUGUGGCCUGUCACAUAAACAGAGUGAUCCCUGUGCGGUGGCACCUCUCAUGGGAAAAGAAGUGGAGCAUAGUGAGAUCACCCAGCAUGCCGUAUUGAGAAUUCAUUGGUCCUUUGUUCACCACCAGAGCCCAGGAAGAUCAAAGGCUUGAGCCCGCCUUAAGCCCUAGUUGGAGAGUUGCCUCAGGAGGGAAAUUCCAGAAGGGAUUGUUUCAGAGUGUUCAGAAUGCAAAUGGCAUUGCCACCUAUGUCACGUGCCUGGGAGCCCCUCUGCAGGCGGUAUCAAGGGAAGAUUAAGAUGUGGAGUCAACACAUGGACACACCCAUCCUAAGGAGAUUCCAAGAUCUUCAGCACAUUUUGCAUAAACAAGACAUAGAUCCCUGUUUCAAGACAUUGAGAUCUUUGUGGGUUGUUUGUUACCACAGAAUAACCUGACCUGUCCUUACUUUUGCUUCUCUUGAUUUUGCUUCUCUUGAAUAUCUGUGCAAAAUGGUGGCCUUUUUAAUCUGCUAAAAUUAUCUCUCCAAUUUGACAGCCUUUUUUGGGGGGGACUAUUUUAUUUCAAGUAUAUUUGCUUGCAUUUUAGAUACUUGAGUGUGAAGCAGAUUGUUGCAGUUUGGGGUUUCCGAGGAGAACAAUUUAAUACAG